UAAGUGUCUGAAAAGAAGAGGUGAAGC
rnacentral:piRNA from 1 species